rnacentral:rRNA from 1 species
CCGGCGACCGGCGGACGGGUGCGUAACGCAUAUGUAACCUACCUUUGACAGGGGGAUAACAUCGAGAAAUUGGUACUAAUACCCCAUAACAUCACCGGAGGCAUCUUCGGUGGUUGAAAACUCAGGUGGUCAGAGAUGGACAUGCGUUGUAUUAGCUAGUUGGUGAGGUAACGGCUCACCAAGGCGACGAUACAUAGGGGGACUGAGAGGUCAACCCCCCACAUUGGUACUGAGACACGGACCAAACUCCUACGGGAGGCAGCAG